GGUUGUUUUCUUGUGUGUCUGUGUGUUCAGUUUCUGGACCAUCCUCACCUAGCAAGGCCUUUGGCUUGUCAGAAAACACUGCAUCAACUGCAGGGAGCAGGGUCCUUCUGGGCUGGGACAGACCCCUGUCCUGCCUCUUGGAUGACCUAAGAACCUUGAAGGAAAGCUUCACUUUAUUGGGAGACUGAUGACCACCAGAUGCUGUGAAAUCCUCUUUCCUGGGCCGGUGGUCUCCUACACGGGGGAUCUUGGUAAGAGAUCACCAGUUAUGGCCUCCCAGGCUCCUUUGUGAAAUACAAGCCUUGUUCCUUUGGAGACAUCCAAAUGCCUGCCAAGGAUCUCCUGGUCACUGCCCAAGAAGGCACGAAGUUUCUUCAGGGUGUUCUUGUUUAUAAUAAAACUUUGGAAUAAAAGUAGGCUUGGCCUCCCUCUCUAUUGCCUGACCAUGUGGCCUGUCCCCUCUCCAGGAUGGACAAAGGUUAAUUAGUGCCUCAAUUCUUUCUUCCCCAUCAAGGUAAGUAACUGGCACUUGGGGAAUAAUUUAUUUUUAAUCAGCUCAGUCCUAAUUGGCGUCUACCAUACUUUGUCUCUGUCUUGGGUUUCUUUCUACUGGGACAUAGGGUAGUCACACACACACCCUCAC
rnacentral:lncRNA from 1 species